AUUUUACUCCCUCCGUCCCAAAAUUCUUGUGUCUUAAAUUUGUCUAGAUACGGAUGUAUCUAAUACUAAAACGUGAUUUGAUACAUCCCUAUUUAGACAAAUCUAAGACAAGAAUUUUGGGACGGAGGGAGUACAUU
rfam:Triticum aestivum genome assembly, contig: Triticum_aestivum_CS42_TGACv1_scaffold_130080_2BL